rnacentral:rRNA from 1 species
GACGAACGCUGGCGGCGUGCCUAAUACAUGCAAGUAGAACGCUGAAGGAGGAGCUUGCUUCUCCGGAUGAGUUGCGAACGGGUGAGUAACGCGUAGGUAACCUGCCUGGUAGCGGGGGAUAACUAUUGGAAACGAUAGCUAAUACCGCAUAAGAGUAGAUGUCGCAUGACAUUUGCUUAAAAGGUGCAACUGCACCACUACCAGAUGGACCUGCGUUGUAUUAGCUAGUUGGUGAGGUAACGGCUCACCAAGGCAACGAUACAUAGCCGACCUGAGAGGGUGAUCGGCCACACUGGGACUGAGACACGGCCCAGACUCCUACGGGAGGCAGCAGUAGGGAAUCUUCGGCAAUGGACGGAAGUCUGACCGAGCAACGCCGCGUGAGUGAAGAAGGAUUUCGGAUCGUAAAGCUCUGUUGUAAGAGAAGAACGAGUGUGAGAGUGGAAAGUUCACACUGUGACGGUAUCUUACCAGAAAGGGACGGCUAACUACGUG